GUUAAAAGGCUCGUAGUUGGAUUUCGGUUAAGAGCGACCGGUCCGCCGUUUGGUGUGCACUGGUUGGUUUUAACUUCCUGUAGAGGACGUGCUCUGGGCUUAACGGUCUGGACUCGGAGUCUACGUGGUUACUUUGAAAAAAUUAGAGUGUUCAAAGCGGGCUUACGCUUGAAUAUUUCAGCAUGGAAUAACACUAUAGGACUCCUGUCCUAUUUCGUUGGUCUCGGGACGGGAGUAAUGAUUAAGAGGAACAGUUGGGGGCAUUCGUAUUCCAUUGUCAGAGGUGAAAUUCUUGGAUUUAUGAAAGACGAACUUCUGCGAAAGCAUUUGCCAAGGAUGUUUUCAUUAAUCAAGAACGAAAGUUGGGGGCUCGAAGAUGAUUAGAUACCAUCCUAGUCUCAACCAUAAACGAUGCCGACUAGGGAUUGGCGGAUGUUAAUUGAUGACUCCGCCAGCACCUUAUGAGAAAUCAAAGUUUUUGGGUUCCGGGGGGAGUAUGGUCGCAAGGCUGAAACUUAAAGGAAUUGACGGAAGGGCACCACCAGGCGUGGAGCCUGCGGCUUAAUUUGACUCAACACGGGAAACCUUACCAGGUCCAGACAUAGUAAGGAUUGACAGAUUGAGAGCUCUUUCU
rnacentral:rRNA from 1 species